UACGGGGGGGCAAGCGUUGUUCGGAAUUACUGGGCGUAAAGGGCUCGUAGGCGCCAACUAAGUCGGACGUGAAAUCCCUCGGCUUAACCGAGGAACUGCCAUCCAGACUGCUUGGCUUGAGACCGGGAGAGGUGAGUGGAAUUCCCAGUGUAGCGGUGAAAUGCGUAGAUAUUGGGAGGAACACCAGUGGCGAAGGCGGCUCACUGGACCGGUACUGACGCUGAUGCGCGAAAGCGUGGGGAGCAAACGGG
rnacentral:rRNA from 1 species